AUACCUUAAACUUAUGAAUGAGUAAGGAAAAUAACGAUUCGAGGUGACCCCCGGAUCCUCACUGCUAAUGUGAGACGAAUUUUUGAGCGGACAAAGGUUGCCCCAAAGGUGACCUGUCUACUUUGCGGGUUGCCUGGGAGUUGUGAUCUGCCUG
rnacentral:snRNA from 1 species